rnacentral:rRNA from 1 species
UACGUAGGGGGCAAGCGUUGUCCGGAUUCAUUGGGCGUAAAGAGCUACGUAGGCGGCUGCUCAAGUCGAAUGUGAAAACUCGAGGCUCAACCUCGAGCCUGCAUUCGAUACUGGGCGGCUAGAGUCUGGUAGGGGGAGUCUGGAAUUCCUGGUGUAGCGGUGGAAUGCGCAGAUAUCAGGAGGAACACCGGUGGCGAAGGCGGCGUGCCUGGACCAACACUGACACUGAGGAGCGAAAGCCAGGGGAGCAAACGGG